UUGACCUCGGAUCAGGUAGGAAUACCCGCUGAACUUAAGCAUAUCAAUAAGCGGAGGAAAAGAAACCAACAGGGAUUGCCCCAGUAACGGCGAGUGAAGCGGCAACAGCUCAAAUUUGAAAUCUGGCCUUCUGGUCCGAAUUGUAAUUUGUAGAGGAUGACUUUGGUUAGGUACCUUUCGAGUUCCUUGGAACAGGACGCCUUAGAGGGUGAGAGCCCCGUACGAUUGGAUGCCGAGCCUUUGUAAGUCUCCUUCGACGAGUCGAGUAGUUUGGGAAUGCUGCUCUAAAUGGGAGGUAAAUUUCUUCUAAAGCUAAAUACCGGCCAGAGACCGAUAGCGCACAAGUAGAGUGAUCGAAAGAUGAAAAGCACUUUGAAAAGAGGGUUAAAUAGUACGUGAAAUUGUUGAAAGGGAAGGGUUUAUGACCAGACCUUUGCGUUGGGAAUCAUCCGGUGUUCUCACCGGUGCACUUCCCUUCGUUGAGGCCAGCAUCAGUUUUGGUUGGGGGAUAAAGACAUUAGGAAUGUGAUUCCUCCGGGAAUGUUAUAGCCUUUUGUGUAAUACCCUGACCGGGACUGAGGACCGCGCUUCGGCUAGGAUGCUGGCAUAAUGGUCAUCAGCCACCCGUCUUGAAACACGGACCAAGGAGUCGAACAUUUAUGCGAGUGUUUGGGUGUUAAACCCUCACGCGUAAUUAAAGUGAACGGAGGUGAGAGCCCUUACGGGUGCAUCAUCGACCGAUCCUGAUGUCUUCGGAUGGAUUUGAGUAAGAGCAUAACUGUUCGGACCCGAAAGAUGGUGAACUAUGCGUGGAUAGGGUGAAGCCAGAGGAAACUCUGGUGGAGGCUCGCAGCGGUUCUGACGUGCAAAUCGAUCGUCAAAUCUGCGCAU
rnacentral:rRNA from 1 species